CUUAGGUGAAUGGGAUAAAACAUGACUAUGACUCCAGUUCUGUGGGCUUGCUCCUUCUAAUUCUCCAAUUUAGAUCAUGGCUGGGCUAACACAGAAGCAGGCUGUCAAAUAUCCUGAGCCUUGAGAGAAAUGAGAAACAUCUCAGUCUGUAAACAAUGGAACUAAUGGAACCUGGUUUCCUGAAGAUUUCUGUGGAACUUCUUAUAAGAAAAGAGCACCUCAGGAAUCAAGUCCAGAAUCCCUCCACCAGAGACAACCAUGCAAUAGUCACUCCCCCAGAAGGGUUCACAAAAUUGCUACUCCCUCCCUAUCUUUCACAGACACUUCCUAUAAUCACACAGUGAAUUUCAGACCUGAAGUAAAAGCUCGAGGAACACACUUCUAAUUACUAUUGCAAAGAGAACAGAAAAGAUGAAGUAUGUUACCAGUGAUUUAUACCUCUACUAAGCCGUAUUUUUGCUCAAUGACUAGCAGGUCUGUUGCACACUACCAAAGAUGAUCUGAAGUGAUCUCUGCCAGUCAAAUCUGAAAAAAAAAAUCCUUUCCAGACCCCAAAUCAAGCAAUCGGAGUAACUCUGGGUGUGUGAGCAAGACUCAUCAGCCAGACAUUUGUCCGAGUUUAAUACUGCUUGCCAAAUCCACUCACAUACCACUUUCAUGCAGUUUAGUUGUGAGACAAGAACUAGUGAGGAGAAAAAAAGUCAGAUAUAGAGUUCAUGUUGUAUGUUCUUGAGGAUGACACUAUUCCCAUUCCAUUCCAUUUUCAGAAAAGAAAGGACCAGGGGUUUUAGGCAAACUAGUGUCAGAUGUGGUGAGAUUUUAGCUUGGAUAGCAGGGGACUUUUGUAUUUCCUUUGUAAGAGCCAAAAAAAUAAAUAUAAUAAAAAAUUGCAAACAAACAAACAAAAAAACUCAUUGUUUUGAAAUAGCAUAGCCCAGAUUAAAAAGUAAUAAUAAUUAAAUGAUGUGUUUUUCAGUGAGUUUUGAUUACCCCUGAGGAAAAAAGGUAGCCAAAUUAGACAUCAAAAUGGAAAACAUCCUUUCUGUCUCUUGCAGUUAGGUAAUGAGAUUCCAUACACCACGGUGUGCAUAAAAAAUAAACAUGAAACAAAGAAACUCAACCAAGUAGAUUUCAAGCAGCUUUUCAAAUCCAUUAGGGAUAGCUGUAAAUCUAAUACUCAUGACUUAAAAUACCAAGUAUCUACCUCAAGAUACCCUCCUAAGCUCUGAUCUCUUCCUUAAUUUACUGAGCUCACUUCAUUUUACCUUACUUAGCUUCCAAGCUUCACAACGGAAAACAGCGCGCACUUUUCAACAGUGUCUAACUAGGAAAAGAAUCUAAGAGGAAAGGCACAUACAUAGUUGAUGAGAGUACAUCCAAAGGCCAUUUUCAGCUAUAAUAGAAUACCUCCGUGUACCUUGAUGAAGCUGAUGGGAUUACUUCUAAAUGACUCUGCUAUCAGAAAGAGCAGAAUCUGUCCCAUCAACCUGCAAAUAUUUGAU